UUUACAUGUACAACGACCAUUGAGCUAUGUGGAUUUGUUGAAUGCACUUGAUUCACCCGUGGAUCAAGAGAGGGCGGAGGUAAUAGUGACAAUUUCUCCAUUGAUGGUGAGCCAUCUUCAAUCCAUUGGAGAAGCAUCUCAGGAACCAACCCUUUCACUGUUCAACCAUAACGUGGAUCCUUUUAAGUUUGUCUUCAAGAAAACUCCUAAGAGUGUUAAGGAGAGGAGAGAGAAGACAUUAGCUCCGAGA